GACGUAGGGCGCGAGCGUUGUCCGGAUUUAUUGGGCGUAAAGAGCUCGUAGGCGGUCUGUCGCGUCGGCUGUGAAAACUCGGGGCUCAACUCCGAGCUUGCAGUCGAUACGGGCAGGCUAGAGUUCGGCAGGGGAGACUGGAAUUCCUGGUGUAGCGGUGAAAUGCGCAGAUAUCAGGAGGAACACCGAUGGCGAAGGCAGGUCUCUGGGCCACUACUGACGCUGAGAAGCGAAAGCGUGGGGAGCGAACAGG
rnacentral:rRNA from 1 species